rnacentral:rRNA from 1 species
GUCUCUGGCCAUCCUUGGGGAGAUCCUGUUUGGCAUUAAGUUGUCGGGCAGGGGAUACCCAUCGUUUACUGUGAAAAAAUUAGAGUGUUUAAAGCAGGCUUAUGCCGUUGAAUAUAUUAGCAUGGAAUAAUAAGAUAGGACUUCGGAACUAUUUUGUUGGUUUGCGUUACGAAGUAAUGAUUAAUAGGGACAGUUGGGGGUAUUCGUAUUUCGUUGUCAGAGGUGAAAUUCUUGGAUUUCCGAAAGACGAACUACUGCGAAAGCAUUUACCAAGGAUGUUUUCAUUAAUCAAGAACGAAAGUUAGGGGAUCGAAGAUGAUUAGAUACCAUCGUAGUCUUAACCAUAAACUAUGCCGACUCGGGAUUGGUGGUUGUUUUUUGACUCCAUCAGCACCGUAUGAGAAAUCAAAGUCUUUGGGUUCCGGGGGGAGUAUGG